rnacentral:rRNA from 1 species
GCCCAAGAGAUCGGGAUAACACCUGGAAACAGAUGCUAAUACCGGAUAACAACAGAUGAUGCCUAUCAACUGUUUAAAAGAUGGUUCUGCUAUCACUCUUGGAUGGACCUGCGGUGCAUUAGCUAGUUGGUAGGGUAACGGCCUACCAAGGCGAUGAUGCAUAGCCGAGCUGAGAGACUGAUCGGCCACAUUGGGACUGAGACACGGCCCAAACUCCUACGGGAGGCAGCAGCC